rnacentral:rRNA from 1 species
GGGUAGCCCGAGAAAUUGGAUAAUCCUCUAAGUUAAUAGUUGGCAUCGGCAAUUUUUAAGUCACACGGUAAAGGUGGGCUUGGUUCCAUUAGCUAGUGGUAAGGUAACGGCUUACCAGGGUUACGAUGGGUUAGGGUCCUGAGAGGGAGAUCCCCCCACACUGGUACUGAGACACGGACCAGAUUCCUACGGGAGGCAGCAGUGAGGAAUAUUGGACAAUGGGCGCAAGCCUGAUCCAGCCAUGCCGCGUGCAGGAUGACGGUCCUAUGGAUUGUAAACUGCUUUUAUACGAGAAGAAACACUGCUUCGUGAAGCAGCUUGACGGUAUCGUAAGAAUAAGGAUCGGCUAACUCCGUGCCAGCAGCCGCGGUAAUACGGAGGAUCCAAGCGUUAUCCGGAAUCAUUGGGUUUAAAGGGUCCGUAGGCGGUUUAAUAAGUCAGUGGUGAAAGCCCAUCGCUCAACGGUGGAACGGCCAUUGAUACUGUUAAACUUGAAUUAUUAGGAAGUAACUAGAAUAUGUAGUGUAGCGGUGAAAUGCUUAGAGAUUACAUGGAAUACCAAUUGCGAAGGCAGGUUACUACUAAUGGAUUGACGCUGAUGGACGAAAGCGUGGGUAGCGAACAGGAUUAGAUACCCUGGUAGUCCACGCCGUAAACGAUGGAUACUAGCUGUUGGAAGCAAUUUCAGUGGCUAAGCGAAAGUGAUAAGUAUCCCACCUGGGGAGUACGUUCGCAAGAAUGAAACUCAAAGGAAUUGACGGGGGCCCGCACAAGCGGUGGAGCAUGUGGUUUAAUUCGAUGAUACGCGAGGAACCUUACCAAGGCUUAAAUGUAGUUUGACCGAUUUGGAAACAGAUCUUUCGCAAGACAAAUUA